GACGAACGCUGGCGGCGUGCUUAACACAUGCAAGUCGAACGGAAAGGCCCUGCUUGCAGGGUACUCGAGUGGCGAACGGGUGAGUAACACGUGGGUGAUCUGCCCUGCACUUCGGGAUAAGCCUGGGAAACUGGGUCUAAUACCGGAUAGGAGCCAUUUUUAGUGUGAUGGUUGGAAAGUUUUUUCGGUGUAGGAUGAGCUCGCGGCCUAUCAGCUUGUUGGUGGGGUAAUGGCCUACCAAGGCGGCGACGGGUAGCCGGCCUGAGAGGGUGGACGGCCACAUUGGGACUGAGAUACGGCCCAGACUCCUACGGGAGGCAGCAGUGGGGAAUAUUGCACAAUGGGCGUAAGCCUGAUGCAGCGACGCCGCGUGGGGGAUGACGGCCUUCGGGUUGUAAACUCCUUUCGCUAGGGACGAAGCUUUUGUGACGGUACCUAGAUAAGAAGCACCGGCUAACUACGUG
rnacentral:rRNA from 1 species